rnacentral:rRNA from 1 species
GAUGAACGCUAGCGACAGGCUUAACACAUGCAAGUCGAGGGGCAUCACGGGAGUAGCAAUACAACUGGUGGCGACCGGCGCACGGGUGAGUAACGCGUAUGCAACCUACCUAUCAGGGGGGAAUAACCCGGCGAAAGUCGGACUAAUACCGCAUAAAACAGGGGCACCGCAUGGUGAUAUUUGUUAAAGAAAUUCGCUGAUAGAUGGGCAUGCGUUCCAUUAGGUAGUUGGUGAGGUAACGGCUCACCAAGCCGACGAUGGAUAGGGGAACUGAGAGGUUGGUCCCCCAAACUGGUACUGAGACACGGACCAGACUCCUACGGGAGGCAGCAGUGAGGAAUAUUGGUCAAUGGGCGGGAGCCUGAACCAGCCAAGUCGCGUGAAGGAAGAAGGAUCUAUGGUUCGUAAACUUCUUUUGCAGGGGAAUAAAGUGCAGGACGUGUCCUGUUUUGUAUGUACCCUGAGAAUAAGGAUCGGCUAACUCCGUGCCAGCAGCCGCCGUAA